rnacentral:rRNA from 1 species
UACGGAGGAUCCGAGCGUUAUCCGGAUUUAUUGGGUUUAAAGGGUGCGUAGGCGGCGCGUUAAGUCAGGGGUGAAAUACGGCAGCUCAACUGUCGCAGUGCCCUUGAUACUGAUGCGCUUGAAUGCCGCUGGAGGCGGCGGAAUGGGACAAGUAGCGGUGAAAUGCAUAGAUAUGUCCCAGAACCCCGAUCGCGAAGGCAGCUGUCUAAGCGGCGAUUGACGCUGAUGCACGAAAGCGUGGGGAUCGAACAGG